UGAAGAAGCCUUCGGGUGUAAACCCUUUCAGUGGGAAGAAACCCUUGGGGCUAAUACCCUCGAGGAAGGACAUCACCCACAGAAGAAGCACCGGCUAACUCCGUGCCAGCAGCCGCGGUAAUACGGAGGGUGCGAGCGUUAAUCGGAAUUACUGGGCGUAAAGCGCGCGUAGGCGGUCUGAUAAGCCGGUUGUGAAAGCCCCGGGCUCAACCUGGGAACGGCAUCCGGAACUGUCAGGCUAGAGUGCAGGAGAGGAAGGUAGAAUUCCCGGUGUAGCGGUGAAAUGCGUAGAGAUCGGGAGGAAUACCAGUGGCGAAGGCGGCCUUCUGGACUGACACUGACGCUGAGGUGCGAAAGCGUGGGUAGCAAACAGGAUUAGAUACCCUGGUAGUCCACGCCGUAAACGAUGUCGACUAGCCGUUGGGCUCCUUGAGAGCUUUGUGGCGCAGUUAACGCGAUAAGUCGACCGCCUGGGGAGUACGGCCGCAAGGUUAAAACUCAAAUGAAUUGACGGGGGCCCGCACAAGCGGUGGAGCAUGUGGUUUAAUUCGAUGCAACGCGAAGAACCUUACCUACCCUUGACAUCGUGCGAACUUUCCAGAGAUGGAUUGGUGCCUUCGGGAACGCACAGACAGGUGCUGCAUGGCUGUCGUCAGCUCGUGUUGUGAAAUGUUGGGUUAAGUCCCGUAACGAGCGCAACCCUUGUCCUUAUUUGCCAGCGAGUAAUGUCGGGAACUCUAAGGAGACUGCCGGUGACAAACCGGAGGAAGGUGGGGACGACGUCAAGUCAUCAUGGCCCUUACGGGUAGGGCUACACACGUGCUACAAUGGCCGGUACAAAGGGUUGCGAAGCCGCGAGGUGGAGCUAAUCCCGAAAAGCUGGUCUCAGUCCGGAUCGGAGUCUGCAACUCGACUCCGUGAAGUCGGAAUCGCUAGUAAUCGUGAAUCAGAAUGUCACGGUGAAUACGUUCCCGGGCCUUGUACACACCGCCCGUCACACCAUGGGAGUGGACUGCACCAGAAGUGGUUAGCCUAACUUCGGAGGGCGAUCACCCACUGGGUUGUUCAACCG
rnacentral:rRNA from 1 species